ACUGUCCAUUCCAUCUAGUCCAUCAACCUGGAAGUCUUAUGUCCGAGGCCCUUAAGUCUCUUCCAUGUCCCUUCUGCAGAUCUUCUUCUUCUUGUUUAUACUUGCACUUUUCCUUGUCUUUUGUUGGUCUCUUUCUUAAUUUCUUUCCUUUCUCAUUGAGGAGUAGGUCUCUGGGGGGUUCCAACCCAAAGUUAUCUCCGUCUCCCUUCAUCAAACCAGCCCAUUCCCCACAGUCCCACUCCCCACAGUCAUCAAUAUAAUCCAAAAAUAUUUACGAGCAUAUUUCGAAGUCUCUCCAAAGUUAAAAGCCUCCUCAGCUCCAGACUCCCCCUGGCCCACUCCAACUUCAAUCUUCAAAAACAGUGGCUUAUGCUCCUGUAGGGCCUUGGGCCUCUCCAUUUGUAUUAUUUGAGGUGCAACCGCAGCCUCCUCCAUUAUCUUCUGCACUUGCCCAAUCAAUACAGGUUCCUGAGUUGGACCCUGGAUGGUUUCUGUAUCACUAUUCACUAUUUGUCCACAGUUAUUGGCCACAACAGUCAUCAAAUCCAUUUUCUCAUUCAUCAAAUCCAUCUUCUCAUGCAUCUGUUCCAACAAAGCACUUGUCUUGCAUAAAGCAAGCACCAAAACUUCCUUCCAGCUCAUAUUUAGUCAAGGUCAAAAGGACUAAUCCCACGAUCUUAAUCUCACAGCUGUGGAAUCCUCAAGUAGACUGCAGCAACAAUUUAGCAGGCUCCCUCUAGAGGAGACAAUUUCUAUUUGUAUCCAUCUUUUUAAGGCAAGUCCAACAAAGGAAAAUUACUUUCAUUUUUCAGAUAUUUUGUUUCUUUAGAAUGCAAAAGGCAACAUUGGAAUCAGUUUAUUUCUCUUCUUCAGCUAUCUGUCAAAGUAUUCCAUUCACAGUCAAUGAACCUCUCCAACAAUUUCUGUCUCUGACACCCCGUUCCCAGGUUAGAGACGGUGGAAACUUAUCUUUCUUCACUCCCUCUCCUGCAGGCAUUACACAAAGUCCCCCCCCCCUUUUCUCCGGCUUCCAAGGGGGGUUCAGUAGUUAUAAAUGAAGGAAAGUUAGACUUUUUUUAAGACUGUCCAGGCUUUAGCUUACAAGGUUUUUGCUUCAGUCUAUAUACAAAAAGCGGAAGGCGGACUUCCUGUUUUGAACCUUCCCGCUUCGAUGUCAAAUUAAGAUAUUUCUUGAUCCAAUUUUCCGUUUCUACUCACGGGUACUUGUUUUAAAUCCAAUUGUCCACAGGAAAAAGUCAGCGCUCUCCGGCGAUGGCUGUGCGGCUUCACUCCGUGAAAGUAGCAGUCAGUUCGCAGCACCACGCUGCUCACCCCACUUCACUCCGGAAUCCCCAAAAGGGGUUCCCCAUGAGUAGGGGGGCGCUCCUGGUGCCCUGCCGAACCCCACGUUCCCAGGCUUCCUCCGCCUGGGAUUUCUAGCGGGUCCCCACCUUCGCCACGGCGGGAAGACCCAGUUUCCACGGAGCCAGUUCCUCCGGUCGGAGGAACUCCGCCAUUCGCCGAUGGCGCUAACCCGGAAGUGCGUCCUCUGGCCUAGUUACUAACAGUGAUAGCUACUUAAUGUUUUCCCCACAAUAGAAAUAGAGAACAACCACCACGGUCACCAAGUUAAUCCACGAUGGUUAGAUUACUGGGGAGAUCAGGGAUCAGAUGUACAAAUGUCUUUUUCUUUCUUUAUUUACUCCUCCCACCUCCAAAGCUAUUAACCAUACAGUGGGGAACAAUAUGGAUGGUUGCCUUUUCCCCCAUCAGUGAGUUGAAUAGCAUAUAACAUAUUGGGAGAUCAAAUGGUAGAUCGACAAUGGAACGGUCUCCCUCGGGACUCUCUUUCCUUGGACAUUUUUAAGCAGAGGUUGGAUGGCCAUCUGUCAUGAUUCCUUAGUUAAGAUUCUUGCAUUGAAGGGGGUUGGACUAGAGGACCCUUAGGGUCCCUUCCAACUCUACAAUUAUCCUAUGAUUCAAUGAUCUUCCAUGCAACGUGUAGCUUGUGCCUGAGUGGGAAUUUGAACGUAGUUUCUUUAUGUAUUGGUUUAGAAAUGAUGGUGUCCUCAAAAACCAACAGUAAUUGUGCUGGUACAUAUGUACAUAUGAAAGGAUGGCUGGCACAGCCAGGUUGUUCCCAUCCGGAAAAUCCUUGAAAGUCUCAUACAGGAUGGCUUUUAUCAGAAGUCUUUCCGCUCUUGUUUAACAAGUGCCAUGGUUACAAGCCUCGGUAAACUGAUGAUAUUCACACGCAGGAAACAACGCAAAGAAAACAGGAAUUGCAUGGCUCCGGCUAUGCUGCCCCAAGAAUUCCAGGAAGUGAUUAUACUUUAUGAAAUCGUCUGCGCUCCGCUAGUUUGUCUAUAGCUUUUUAAGGUCAAGCCGUAUCAUGCUGCGUUUGAAAUGCCCUUUGUGUAAUGAAGAAUGUUUAUGAACCCAAGUACAUGCUGUAUUGUUUUCCACACUCUUCGGUUUGGAAGGUGCUGUGUUGGAGCCUCUUUUACGGGAUGGCAUGAGGAAUCUAUCACGGACCUUUCUGGCAUCAAAGGAGGGCUGUCCAUCAUGCCCCUUGAAAUGUUGUCACUGCAUGGAGAAAGUCACGAAGUCCAUGCCGCUCAGGGCAAGACACUGAUAGGAAGGCAGAGGCGCUAGGACGUGCCCUGUUUGCAUUAUGAAUUUCCUGCUUGCAUUCCAGCUGAAUAUUCGUAGCACAGGGAGCUUCUGCCCCAGUAAGCACCCUUUGCAACUUGGGAGGAAAAGGAACAGGAGAGACUUUUUUAUUAUUUUGCACUCUUGUAAGACGGCGGCAGCAUGUGCUUACUAGGAAAGAGAAAGCCGGGAGGUAGUCUUGCAGCCAGGGUUUUCCCUUUGCGGACGCUCUGAUCUUUGAAGAACAGGAAAAGGCAGAGCUGGUGCCUGCCAAUAUACUCUAUGAAAUUGAAAGGUAACAAUGGGUUUCCAAACCCUUUGGACUCCCACCGCAAUGCGCACACAACUGCUUCUAAGGUCUGGCAUAGUUUUUAUAGUACGCGGGCCAAUGAUUGUAUUCUUCUCUGUAUGUGCUUACAUAGGUACAUAGGAAGCUGCCUUAUACAGAGUCAGAGCAUUGUCUACACUAACUGGCAGUGUCUCUCCAGGGUUUCAGACAAGGGGUCAUUCCCAGUCCUGCCUGGAGAUGCCAGGGAUUGAAGCUUUUGCAUGCAAGGAUCAUGCUCGGCCACUGAGCUAUGACCCUUCCUCAAGCUUACAUUUAGUCGCAGUUUUGAGCAACUCAUCAUUAUGGGUAUGUUCCUUGCUCACUUUCCCAGCAGCCAUGCCUGAAGGUCUCCUUUGGAGGGAGUGCAACCCCAUCAAGAGUAGGCAACCUCCCAUCCAUCCAGUCUAGGGAACCAGCCACUUAUCUGGAUUAACCUUCAGUUUAUUGGCUCUCAUCCAUCCCAUUAUUGAGGUUCAGCACAUGCACUGCUACACCUGCGGAUGUAAAGGAGAAGUAGAGCUGUGUGUCAUCAGCAUCUUGCUGACGACACACUCCAAAACUAUGGAUAACCCCACUCAGUGGUUUCAUGUAGAUUUAAAAAAGCAUGGGGGGUAAAAUUGAACCCCCCAGAACCCCACAUUGAAGGCUCCGUGGGGCUGAAGAGCACUCCCCAAACCUCACCCUCUGGAAAUGACCAUCCAUGUAAGACUGGAACCACCACAAAGCAGUGCCACCCACUCCUAACGUGGACAGCUGCUCCAGAAGGAUAUCAUGGUUGAGGGUAUGAAAAGCCCCUGAGAGGUUGAGGAGAGUUAUCAAGUACACAGGGGUCCAUAAGAGCAGGGAUAAGAAGAAACUAGAGCUGAACAACAGGAUUCCACAUUUUGGCUAAAAACCAUCACAAUAAAAGCAGCAAAUAUACUUGUUUGCUUUCUGUGGGGAUACAGUAAGUAGGAAAGAAGAUACAACAGUAGUUAGAGCCUUCAUUAUUCAAAGUGAUGUUUCUCAAGGGGAGGAGGCAUUAUAUU